rnacentral:rRNA from 1 species
UGCGAAUGCUGACAUGAGUAACGAUAAAGGGGGUGAAAAACCUCCUCGCCGGAAGACCAAGGGUUCCUGUCCAACGUUAAUCGGGGCAGGGUAAGUCGACCCCUAAGGCGAGGCCGAAAGGCGUAGUCGAUGGGAAACGGGUUAAUAUUCCCGUACUUCUUACAAUUGCGAUGGGGGGACGGAGAAGGCUAGGUGGGCCUGGCGACGGUUGUCCAGGUUCAAGUGCGUAGGCUGAGAAAUUAGGUAAAUCCGGUUUCUCUUAAGGCUGAGACACGACGUCGAGCAUCUACGGAUGUGAAGUCAUUGAUGCCAUGCUUCCAGGAAAAGCCUCUAAGCUUCAGAUUGUAAGGAAUCGUACCCCAAACCGACACAGGUGGUCGGGUAGAGAAUACCAAGGCGCUUGAGAGAACUCGGGUGAAGGAACUAGGCAAAAUGGUACCGUAACUUCGGGAGAAGGUACGCUCUCGACGGUGAAGUCCCUCGCGGAUGGAGCUAUUGAGAGUCGCAGAUACCAGGUGGCUGCAACUGUUUAUUAAAA